rnacentral:rRNA from 1 species
AAUCCAUAGGUUAAUGAGGCGAACCGGGGGAACUGAAACAUCUAAGUACCCCGAGGAAAAGAAAUCAACCGAGAUUCCCCCAGUAGCGGCGAGCGAACGGGGAGGAGCCCAGAGCCUGAAUCAGCAUGUGUGUUAGUGGAAGCGUCUGGAAAGGCGCGCGAUACAGGGUGACAGCCCCGUACACAAAAGCGCAUGUGCUGUGAGCUCGAUGAGUAGGGCGGGACACGUGGUAUCCUGUCUGAAUAUGGGGGGACCAUCCUCCAAGGCUAAAUACUCCUGACUGACCGAUAGUGAACCAGUACCGUGAGGGAAAGGCGAAAAGAACCCCGGCGAGGGGAGUGAAAAAGAACCUGAAACCGUGUACGUACAAGCAGUGGGAGCACCCUUUGGGUGUGACUGCGUACCUUUUGUAUAAUGGGUCAGCGACUUAUAUUCUGUAGCAAGGUUAACCGAAUAGGGGAGCCGGAGGGAAACCGAGUCUUAAUUGGGCGUUAAGUUGCAGGGUAUAGACCCGAAACCCGGUGAUCUAGCCAUGGGCAGGUUGAAGGUUGGGUAACACUAACUGGAGGACCGAACCGACUAAUGUUGAAAAAUUAGCGGAUGACCUGUGGCUGGGGGUGAAAGGCCAAUCAAACCGGGAGAUAGCUGGUUCUCCCCGAAAGCUAUUUAGGUAGCGCCUCGUGAAUUCAUCUCCGGGGGUAGAGCACUGUUUCGGCUAGGGGGCCAUCCCGGCUUACCAACCCGAUGCAAACUGCGAAUACCGGAGAAUGUUAUCACGGGAGACACACGGCGGGUGCUAACGUCCGUCGUGAAGAGGGAAACAACCCAGACCGCCAGCUAAGGUCCCAAAGUCAUGGUUAAGUGGGAAACGAUGUGGGAAGGCCCAGACAGCCAGGAUGUUGGCUUAGAAGCAGCCAUCAUUUAAAGAAAGCGUAAUAGCUCACUGGUCGAGUCGGCCUGCGCGGAAGAUGUAACGGGGCUAAACCAUGCACCGAAGCUGCGGCAGCGACGCUUAUGCGUUGUUGGGUAGGGGAGCGUUCUGUAAGCCUGCGAAGGUGGCCUGUGAGGGUUGCUGGAGGUAUCAGAAGUGCGAAUGCUGACAUAAGUAACGAUAAAGCGGGUGAAAAGCCCGCUCGCCGGAAGACCAAGGGUUCCUGUCCAACGUUAAUCGGGGCAGGGUGAGUCGACCCCUAAGGCGAGGCCGAAAGGCGUAGUCGAUGGGAAACGGGUUAAUAUUCCCGUACUUGGUGUUACUGCGAAGGGGGGACGGAGAAGGCUAUGUUGGCCGGGCGACGGUUGUCCCGGUUUAAGCGUGUAGGCUGGUUUUCCAGGCAAAUCCGGAAAAUCAAGGCUGAGGCGUGAUGACGAGGCACUACGGUGCUGAAGCAACAAAUGCCCUGCUUCCAGGAAAAGCCUCUAAGCAUCAGGUAACAUCAAAUCGUACCCCAAACCGACACAGGUGGUCAGGUAGAGAAUACCAAGGCGCUUGAGAGAACUCGGGUGAAGGAACUAGGCAAAAUGGUGCCGUAACUUCGGGAGAAGGCACGCUGACACGUAGGUGAAGUGAUUUACUCACGGAGCUGAAGUCAGUCGAAGAUACCAGCUGGCUGCAACUGUUUAUUAAAAACACAGCACUGUGCAAACACGAAAGUGGACGUAUACGGUGUGACGCCUGCCCGGUGCCGGAAGGUUAAUUGAUGGGGUCAGCGCAAGCGAAGCUCCUGAUCGAAGCCCCGGUAAACGGCGGCCGUAACUAUAACGGUCCUAAGGUAGCGAAAUUCCUUGUCGGGUAAGUUCCGACCUGCACGAAUGGCGUAAUGAUGGCCAGGCUGUCUCCACCCGAGACUCAGUGAAAUUGAACUCGCUGUGAAGAUGCAGUGUACCCGCGGCAAGACGGAAAGACCCCGUGAACCUUUACUAUAGCUUGACACUGAACAUUGAGCCUUGAUGUGUAGGAUAGGUGGGAGGCUUUGAAGCGUGGACGCCAGUCUGC